rnacentral:rRNA from 1 species
UACGUAGGGUGCAAGCGUUGCCCGGAUUUAUUGGGCGUAAAGAGCUCGUAGGCGGCCUGUUGCGUCCGCUGUGAAAGCCCGGGGCUUAACCCCGGGUCGGCAGUGGAUACGGGCAGGCUAGAGGUAGGUAGGGGAGAAUGGAAUUCCCGGUGUAGCGGUGAAAUGCGCAGAUAUCGAGAGGAACACCUGCGGCGAAGGCAGGUCUCUGGGCAUUAACUGACGCUGAGGAGCGAAAGCAUGGGGAGCGAACAGG